AGAAGGCCACGUGGGGAGGGGUGCGGGGGAUGACAAUGCCUCAAAUCUGCCGCUUUUGUUGGGGUGUUACCAGGCAGACUAGAGCCUGCAGAUUUCAUCUCGCCUUUUUUUUUUUUUUUUUGAAGUCCUUAAAAGGAAAAAGAAAAAAAAAAAAAAACCAACCCACAAAAACCUUGUUUGCUAAUAUGAUGCUGCAAUUUGCGAAAAGCACCUUUAUAGAAUCAAAAGGAAUUUUUUUGGCAUUUAUUUUUAUUGCUACCUUUCUAUUUGUUUCUUUCCUUUAAUUUGAAGUUUAUGAAACUGUUGCAUUGGAGCCGGAAAUUAAGGUAAAAGCAGUGCCAGUUAGGGGCUUGCAAAAGGCAGUGGGCACAGCCCCUUGCAGCUGACCACUAGCGUCCGGAGAGCGCCGACGAUGCCUCCCACGCACACUCAAUGUAUACAUUGAGUUGUCGCUGGAAGCUCCUACCCCACCUCCCCGCCCUUGGCCGAGCACCGCUGGGCGCCGGAGAGGGGGGCGGGCGGGGGCGAGCAGAUUGCGGCCGGCGCACGCCGCUCGUUUGCAUUUCUAUGGAGGGCGCACAAUAGCAGAGGUCUGGCGUGUGGCGGUUUGCAGUAGGGACAAUCCAGGCUUUCUCUUCAUAGCAACACUGUCCACCUGCUGCCUGGUGGGGCGGGCAGGCCCCCGCCGCGCGUGGGGGUCGCCGGGCUGCCCGGCGCGUGGGGUCGAGGCUGCGUGCCACUCCGUGGUCCCUGAGUGCGCGCCCCCGUAUUGGCCCUGCUACAUGUAAUUCCCUUCCACCCGUUUCUCGCACGGGUGCCCAGCAGUCGCGCUAGUUGGGAAGGACUGGGAGCUGGUGCGCGGUCUACAAGGCUGGACGCCCUCUGGCCGGAACCCCGCGGCCAGAAUCUCUUUCCCGGGGCGCCAUCUACGGGCAAGCUCGAAAGAUCCUAAAACCCCUUUUCUCCUCCCCUCUCCCCAACACACACACCCUUCCGUUGGCCUGGCGCGGGAGAAGAGCGGUGGGUGGGGGGCGGACACGGAGCUGCCCGGCCAGGCCCACUGAGCCCUGUCCAACAUUAACAGGAACCCGAUUAAGGGCCGCAAAUCGCAUCCAAAGUAACUGCGGGGAGUAGAGGGCGAAAGGAGAUUCCCAUCCAGUGCUGAUGGAGGUGAAGCGCGGAUCUGCACACAGGAAGGCUUCAGAUGACAACUGAAAUAAGGAACAGGAAGCUGAGAAAGGAAGACACCUCCCACACACACACCUAGCAAAAGCUGGACAUUUCUGGUCAGUCAUCCUAUGGAAAGACUUUCUGGAAGGAGCAAUUAUUCUUGGAAACUGAAAGGUAUUAACAACCUCCAGAAGGCACUAUGACAUUGCAGUUUGGACUUUGUGGAGCAGAACUCAAAGCUGGGCUUAGCUGCUUGUUGACUUUGACCUUGAGCAAAAAGUUAGCAGAUGAUUUAAAGUGUAAGGUAAAAAGAAUUCAUGCUUGUUGACCCAUUAAAUGCUCAUAAGUUAAGCUCUCUGAAAAAAGCCAUUCAAAAAUGUAUAUAACAAGAAAAUAUUUAUUGCCGUGUUUCUUAAAGUAAUGAAAAGUUAGAAACCGUUUAGGGGGCUAGUGCUAAAUCAUGUGUACCCAUAAAUGAAACACUAUGCGUCUAUAAAAAGGGGUUCUGAAGAGUAGUUCCUGGCAUGAUGUAAUAUGAAAAAAGCAAAAUAUGAAAUUGUGCAAUUCUAAUUCUGCAAAAACUUUCAGCGUACACGACUAUCACUGAAAAAAAUCACAAAGUAGAAAAUGGUGAUUAUAUCUUGGAGUGAUGAGAUUGUAGGUGAUUUUUAAUUUUCUUUACUAAGUUUUUCUGCAAUUAAACAUUCUGCAGUUCCAUCUUAAUACAAACAUCUAAGACUUUCAAAUGGAGUAACUUCAGGGUUUGACAUCCUCGGCCUGAUUGCUGAGGAGGUUAUUGUGCAGAGUGAUCUUUGACCGUACGGUCACAGAUCCAGAAGCCAGACGUCUGCGGGGCUUUGCUCCUGAGAGGGAGCUCCCCGACUGUGACCUUUGAUUCCUGCACGCCUCCUCUUGCCAUCUGAUGCCAGUCUGCUCCUGUGACUAAGUGAAAAUCGUCAUAACUGCACUCAGAGGUUAACUCUGGCCUGACUGGGAGGGAACAUGCUGGCAACAUGCCGAAGACAGGAAAGAAGGCCAGCAGCCUUGUCAGGAACAAGCACCCUGGGCGGCACCUUUCCAUAGACAUGCGGUUCCCCCGGACCCUUGGGGAAUCCUCUGCGCAUGCCAGGGCAAGCAGCAAUGGAAGAAAUCAUCUUUCACUCCCUUCUUGGUGAAAAUGUCUAUUUUCCAGAAAUGAAUUACAAAAAUAAAUUAUGAAAUUUG